GGGAAGGUGGUUCAGUGGUAGAGCGCUUGCCUUGCACGCAUGAGGCCCCAGGUUCCAUUCCUCAGUACCA
rfam:Dipodomys ordii contig_33230, whole genome shotgun sequence.